rnacentral:rRNA from 1 species
UCAUCUCCGGGGGUAGAGCACUGUUUCGGCAAGGGGGUCAUCCCGACUUACCAACCCGAUGCAAACUGCGAAUACCGGAGAAUGUUAUCACGGGAGACACACGGCGGGUGCUAACGUCCGUCGUGAAGAGGGAAACAACCCAGACCGCCAGCUAAGGUCCCAAAGUCAUGGUUAAGUGGGAAACGAUGUGGGAAGGCCCAGACAGCCAGGAUGUUGGCUUAGAAGCAGCCAUCAUUUAAAGAAAGCGUAAUAGCUCACUGGUCGAGUCGGCCUGCGCGGAAGAUGUAACGGGGCUAAACCAUGCACCGAAGCUGCGGCAGCGACGCUUAUGCGUUGUUGGGUAGGGGAGCGUUCUGUAAGCCUGUGAAGGUGUGCUGUGAGGCAUGCUGGAGGUAUCAGAAGUGCGAAUGCUGACAUAAGUAACGAUAAAGCGGGUGAAAAGCCCGCUCGCCGGAAGACCAAGGGUUCCUGUCCAACGUUAAUCGGGGCAGGGUGAGUCGACCCCUAAGGCGAGGCCGAAAGGCGUAGUCGAUGGGAAACAGGUUAAUAUUCCUGUACUUGGUGUUACUGCGAAGGGGGGACGGAGAAGGCUAUGUUGGCCGGGCGACGGUUGUCCCGGUUUAAGCGUGUAGGCUGGUUUUCCAGGCAAAUCCGGAAAAUCAAGGCUGAGGCGUGAUGACGAGGCACUACGGUGCUGAAGCAACAAAUGCCCUGCUUCCAGGAAAAGCCUCUAAGCAUCAGGUAACAUCAAAUCGUACCCCAAACCGACACAGGUGGUCAGGUAGAGAAUACCAAGGCGCUUGAGAGAACUCGGGUGAAGGAACUAGGCAAAAUGGUGCCGUAACUUCGGGAGAAGGCACGCUGAUAUGUAGGUGAAGUCCCUCGCGGAUGGAGCUGAAAUCAGUCGAAGAUACCAGCUGGCUGCAACUGUUUAUUAAAAACACAGCACUGUGCAAACACGAAAGUGGACGUAUACGGUGUGACGCCUGCCCGGUGCCGGAAGGUUAAUUGAUGGGGUCAGCGCAAGCGAAGCUCUUGAUCGAAGCCCCGGUAAACGGCGGCCGUAACUAUAACGGUCCUAAGGUAGCGAAAUUCCUUGUCGGGUAAGUUCCGACCUGCACGAAUGGCGUAAUGAUGGCCAGGCUGUCUCCACCCGAGACUCAGUGAAAUUGAACUCGCUGUGAAGAUGCAGUGUACCCGCGGCAAGACGGAAAGACCCCGUGAACCUUUACUAUAGCUUGACACUGAACAUUGAGCCUUGAUGUGUAGGAUAGGUGGGAGGCUUAGAAGUGUGGACGCCAGUCUGCAUGGAGCCGACCUUGAAAUACCACCCUUUAAUGUUUGAUGUUCUAACGUUGACCCGUAAUCCGGGUUGC